GUCGAAAGACGGACUUAGUGAUCCGGUGGUUCCGCAUGGAAGGGCCAUCGCUCAACGGAUAAAAGCUACCCCGGGGAUAACAGGCUUAUCUCCCCCAAGAGUUCACAUCGACGGGGAGGUUUGGCACCUCGAUGUCGGCUCAUCGCAUCCUGGGGCUGUAGUCGGUCCCAAGGGUUGGGCUGUUCGCCCAUUAAAGCGGUACGCGAGCUGGGUUCAGAACGUCGUGAGACAGUUCGGUCCCUAUCCGUCGUGGGCGUAGGAAAUUUGAGAGGAGCUGUCCUUAGUACGAGAGGACCGGGAUGGACAUACCUCUGGUGUACCAGUUGUCGUGCCAACGGCAUAGCUGGGUAGCUAUGUAUGGACGGGAUAAGUGCUGAAAGCAUCUAAGCAUGAAGCCCCCCUCGAGAUGAGAUUUCCCAACUUCGGUUAUAAGAUCCCUCAAAGAUGAUGAGGUGAAUAGGUUCGAGGUGGAAGCGUAGCGAUACGUGGAGCUGACGAAUACUAAUCGAUCGAAGACUUAAUCAAU
rnacentral:rRNA from 1 species